UGUCACUAUCCAUCCUCAUGUCCAAAGGUCCAUCCUUCUGCAGUGAAAAACCUCUUUCAGGUGUAUCAAAUUGCAUAGAAGAACAUCCAGCAUCCAAGAGAACUCCAUCUAGAGUUCCAGGCUCAACUCCUGAUGAGAUUAACAAAGCCUCUGACUGGCUAAACUGUCCGAGAAGAGCUUGAAUCUGUUUCGGGUAAGAUUCUGAAAGCUGCUGAGCUAUUUUAUA
rnacentral:lncRNA from 1 species